AACUUCCAAAGAAUGUAUUUAGCUCUACUCAGGAGUACGCAGAGAUUUCUAGGGUUUUUUUGAAUCCUCGUUCAACAUUUUUAUUAUUCAAAACAAUUCUGACUUCUUUUGCUUUUUUUUGGACCUAGAAAUGAUUCAGAGUCUCUAAGAACUGAUGACUUCAAUGAUGGGAACAAGAUGUAAACUUCACUAAAUGUCAUGCGGCCAAAAUAUAACUGUCCUCAGAGCCUGUAACUACAGCUUGAAGACUGUUCAUGAGAAAAGGCAGUUGAAACUGCGUGGACUUUUGAAAGUGCAAGCAUAAGAAGGUAUCUGAAGUUUUGAAAAUCUAAGCAAAGAGUGAGACCCCAAGAAUGAAAUCACUGUGUGUGAUGAAACCCUGUUUUCCUGAAAAUGGCUGAACAUUUGUCUGCAAGUGUGAAGCAAAGAAUGAAUUCCUGACUUUGCUUUGCUUGCACACCCAGGCCUGUGUUCAUCCACUCCCAGGAAAGCAGAGCUCAUCACUGCCAACAGUUUCUUGGAAAUAAGAUGCUAUCACUCUACAGGCCUUGCCAGCAGAUAAGAUGGAGUAUGGAGACACCAACUAAUACCUUUUCUUCACAAGAUAUGACGGUAUCAUCCCCCAGUCUCCCAUAGCAGACAGGAGUAAUUUGGUCAUAGGACAGAUCUUCCGCCAGUAAACAGUCCAGUAAACAGUCCUGAGCACUCCCUUUCGAAGGCAAACAGCUCCAAAGAAAUGCUUUCAAGUGUAAAUCAUCCAGACAGUGAUGUUGAUUGCCACAUGACAGCACCCACCUCUCAUCUCAUAGAGUCUUACCAUAAGAAAUACCUCAGGAAACAAGCUUUGAGCCAGAAAACAAAGAAGGAUUCAUACAUGGUGGUAUGGUAGUAGAGGUUGAACCUUCUCACCAAUGUUCCAUUGCACUUUGUUGCCACGUGACAGAUGGCAGCAGAGGGACAGUCUGAUAGAAUGACGUAAGACACAGAAGUGGGUAUGAAGCAAACAAGUGCCACUGAAUUUCUCUGUGCAGAAAAAAUGGUACCCAUUGAUAUUCAUCGACACUUGCGGAAUGUUUUUGGAGACCAAACAAUGGAUGUGAGGAACAACAGCGGGUCACCUCUGCUGCUGCAGACUUUUACUAGCACAGCAUGCAGGCUCUUGUUCAUUGCUAGUGAUAGUACACAACUAAUUGUAGUGACUGCAUUGAAAAAUUGUGUGUUGUAGCUGAGAAUUUGCUCCGUCAAAGAGUGUUAUUAUGUUAUUUGUAUCUGUUGCAGUUUCCAUGGAAAUAAAUAG
rnacentral:lncRNA from 1 species